rnacentral:rRNA from 1 species
AUUGAACGCUGGCGGCAUGCCUUACACAUGCAAGUCGAACGGUAACAGGUCUUCGGAUGCUGACGAGUGGCGAACGGGUGAGUAAUACAUCGGAACGUGCCUAGUAGUGGGGGAUAACUACUCGAAAGAGUGGCUAAUACCGCAUGAGAUCUACGGAUGAAAGCAGGGGAUCGCAAGACCUUGUGCUACUAGAGCGGCCGAUGGCAGAUUAGGUAGUUGGUGGGAUAAAAGCUUACCAAGCCGACGAUCUGUAGCUGGUCUGAGAGGACGAUCAGCCACACUGGGACUGAAACACGGCCCAGACUCCUACGGGAGGCAGCAGUGGGGAAUUUUGGACAAUGGGCGCGAGCCUGAUCCAGCCAUGCCGCGUGCAGGAUGAAGGCCUUCGGGUUGUAAACUGCUUUUGUACGGAACGAAAAGACUCCUUCUAAUAAAGGGGGUCCAUGACGGUACCGUAAGAAUAAGCACCGGCUAACUACGUGCCAGCAGCCGCGGUAAAAC